rnacentral:rRNA from 1 species
GGACGGGUGCGUAACACGUAGGAAUCUGCCCGGUAGUGGGGGAUAGCCCGGAGAAAUUCGGAUUAAUACCGCAUACGCCCUAAGGGGGAAAGCAGGGGAUCUUCGGACCUUGCGCUAUCGGAUGAGCCUGCGUCGGAUUAGCUAGUUGGUGGGGUAAAGGCCCACCAAGGCGACGAUCCGUAGCUGGUCUGAGAGGAUGAUCAGCCACACUGGGACUGAGACACGGCCCAGACUCCUACGGGAGGCAGCAGUGGGGAAUAUUGCACAAUGGGCGAAAGCCUGAUGCAGCCAUGCCGCGUGUGUGAAGAAGGCCCUAGGGUUGUAAAGCACUUUCAGUGGGGAGGAAAGGUUGAAGGUUAAUACCCUUCAGCUGUGACGUUACCCACAGAAGAAGCACCGGCUAACUCCGUGCCAGCAGCCGCGGUAAUACGGAGGGUGCGAGCGUUAAUCGGAAUUACUGGGCGUAAAGCGUGCGUAGGCGGCUUUUUAAGUUGGAUGUGAAAGCCCCGGGCUUAACCUGGGAACUGCAUCCAAAACUGGAAGGCUUGAGUGCGAGAGAGGA